CCACGAUUUAAACCCAAAGCCAGAAGUGAAUCUGAAACAGGCCGAGGGGAAUGCAAACAGAAUCCAGCAAUCGUGAAAGCACCAGAACCGCGACUCCAAAGCUUCGACGAAUCUCACCUCCAACGAACACGCCGAGCCACCGAUCUGCAAAUCGCCGGCUGCCCAACCCCAAUUCGCGAGUCACUGUAUCAAAACAACAAACUCUACAAGAAUAUCACUGCCACUACAAUUAACACAUGCACCAGAACCAACGAUGUUUCCCGCCCACGCAUCAGCCGACAAGUUCGAGCACUCCUCACAGCCGCAAAAUCAAACUACUAA